GGAUGCGAUCAUACCAGCACUAAAGCACCGGAUCCCAUCAGAACUCCGAAGUUAAGCGUGCUUGGGCGAGAGUAGUACUAGGAUGGGUGACCUCCUGGGAAGUCCUCUGUUGCAUUCC
rnacentral:rRNA from 1 species